rnacentral:lncRNA from 1 species
GAUUCCUUCAAGGCCUCUGCUUCCAUGUGCCACCCAGCAGCCAAAUGGUGGCAAAUGUCAGCCCCUUUCAGGCCGGCUUCUUGUUAAAGGACAACUCAGGGCUACAAAGCCUGGGGCUAAUCUCUGUGUAACUUGUUUAUUACGUACCUCAGUCCUGGCACAGCGGUGGUAGCAAACAGCACAUGAGCAACAACCUCUUCCAGGAAUCCCAGUCCAGCCAUGGAGGGCAGCAAUUCUGCCUUAAGAACUGACUCUAGUUAGACAAAUAAGGCAGGGAGAAAACUCUCCUGCUGCUUGUAACAGCUCCCCAUCUCCUCCAAAAGACCCACUUAAUCAGAUGCAUGAAGUGGAAACUUAAGUGGGCAGAUAUAUAUACACAUGCAAAGAUGGGUGUGUUACAUUACUUUGCUUAUGCCUAAAUAAAUUUGUUAAUCUUUAAGGUGCCACAGGACUCCUUGUUGUUUCUUCUAAGGAAGUGUUAUUUCAUUAUUCUCCUGCCUGGGAUCAGUUGCACUCUCGUCUGAAGCAGCGACCGAGAGCAGUGUCCCGUCGUGCUAGGUGCUGCGCAGCCGCACACUGACCGAGAUCGGGGCCCUGUUGUGCUGAGCUGCACCAACGUAUAACUGAGUCGCUGCCCCAACACUUCAGUAAUAAAACUGAUUCUUCCCCCCCCCCCCCCGCAACAGGCUAUUCAGGUUCCACACCAGACUUAAUCCACCGGAUCGAGGUAGGGGAGGCAGAUCUCUGGAUCCAUGAUGCCGAGGACUCCAGGGAAAGCUCUGGGCCUGAGAGCCCCUCUCCAGGCAGCUGCUGCUGGGGGUGCGGAGGCACGUGGGGUACAGAGGAAAUUGUCCUGUGGGCCACAACUUGGAGUAUCCUGGUGUAUGGGCUGGGUGUGAGGGAGAGGGGGUGGGAUGGUUUCUGUCACAUCACCUCUCCUCCUGCUCUCUCAGUGGCACAAAAUCAUUGUCACUUACAUUGCUUCAGUGUCAAUGCUUAGCACAGCCCUCAGCAUUAACGCGUCUGUGACUGUCUGUAGACCAAAGGCCUGCUGGGUGGCACCAUUCACCCCUUCCAGCUCAGCGGUGCCACGGAUCAGGUUGUAAAACAAAACAAAAAUGUUUUUGAGGUUACA